rnacentral:lncRNA from 10 species
CGCCGUGCGCCCGCACUCCUCAGCCCUUGGGAGGUAGAUGGGACUGGGCGCCGUGGAGCAGGGGGCGGCGCUCGUCGGGGAGGCUCGGGUCGCACAGGAGCCCAUGGAGGUGGGGGGAGGCUCAGGCACGGCUGGGCUGCAGGUCCGGAGCCCUGCCCCGCGGGAAGGCAGCUAAGGACGGGCGAGAAAUUAAGCACAGCAGCUGCUGGCCCAGGUGCUAAGCCCCUCACUGCCUGGGGCUGGCGGGGCCGGCAGGCCGCUCCGAGUGCGGGCCCGCCGAGCCUACGCCCACCCGGAACUCGCGCUGGCCCGGAAGCACCGCGCGCAGCCCCGGUUCCGGCCCGCGCCUCUCCCUCCACACCUCCCCACAAGCUGAGGGAGCCGGCUGCGGCCUUCGCCAGCCCAGAAAGGGGCUCCUACAGUGCAGUGGCGGGCUGAAGGGCUGCUCAAGCGCCGCCAAAGUGGGAGCCCAGGCAGAGGAGGCGCCCAGAGCGAGCGAGGGCUGUGAGGACUGCCAGCACGCUGUCACCUCUCACUCAUAUAGAUUGCCAAUCUAUUUGUGAACCAGGUUUGCUGGAGUUUGGAUUUACUACUGAGUCAUAUUUGGAGCAUGCUGGAAUCUUACAACUGAGAUUACCGAGUCAGAAACUUGCAAACAUGAGUAACAUGGCCCUGCUCUGGAGACUACUGGGAACACAAACACAGCCAUUUAAGACAUCUACCUGCUUCUCCUUUGCCUUCCAUCAUGACUGAAAGUUGUCUGAGGUCUCCCAGCCACGUGUCCUGUACAGCCUGUGGAACUACUUUAAAGAAGAAUCAGAAAAUGGAGACUGGGAUUGGAAGCAGAGAUCCGAUGGCCAAAUUACAGUCUGCCACUGAAGCUAACACACCUAUGGAUAACCCAACCUGUAAACUCAAUGUGGAACACAGUUUGAGAAAAGAAGUGAGAAGAUUCAAUUUUGAAGUUGGAUCACUCUCCUACAGGCAAUGAAGACCACAUCACUGAUGAACUCUGACUAAUACAUCAUGAACUUGCAGAAUUUUGGAUAUUUGACAAAUCUGAGGAAUUGAAGAGACGGGCACCUCACCUUUUCUGAGCAGAAGAGUUCAUUUGAUGAAACCUGAAGUAGAGAGCAGGCUCUCCUGCAAUUCUAUUACCUGUUUGAAUGUGAAGAUGGGAUGAAGUAGCAAGAAGGACCUCACAAAAUACCUCCCCCACCACCCCAUCAUCUUGCACUUUCCAGUCUGCAGAACUGUGAGAAAGAAAUUUUUAAAAUUAUUAUUAUACUUUAAGUUAUAGGGUACAUGUGCACAAUGUGCAGGUUUGUUACAUAGGUGUACAUGUGCCAUGUUGGUUUGCUGCGUCCAUCAACUCGUCAUUUACAUUAGGUAUUUCUCCUAAUGCUAUCCCUCCCCCAGUCCCCCAGCCCCUGAUAUGCCCCAGUGUGUGAUGUUCCCCUCCCUGUGUCCAUGUGUUCUCAUUCAACUCCCACCUAUGAGUGAGAACACACGGUGUUUGGUUUUCUGCCCUUGUGACAUUUUGCAGAGGAUGAUGGUUUCCAGCUUCAUCCAUGUCCCUGCAUAGGACAUGAACUCCUUUUUUAUGGCUGCAUAUAUUCCACGGUGUAUAUGUGCCACAUUUUCUUAAUCCAGUCUAUCAUUGAUGGACAUUUGGGUUGGUUCCAAGUCUUUGCUAUUGUGAAUAAUGCCACAAUAAACAUAUAUG